GUCUGCUUGCAGUUAUAAGGAGUCUAGCCUGCUCUCUGAUUAAUUUAAGGGCCGCGGUAAUUUGACCGUGCAAAGGUAGCAUAAUAAUUAGUUUUUUAAUUGGAAUCUUGUAUGAAUGGUUGGACAAAAGAAAUACUGUCUCUGUAAUUAUUAUUGAAUUUAACUUUUAAGUGAAAAGGCUUAAAUUAUUUAAAAAGACGAUAAGACCCUAUAAAGCUUUAUAAGUGAUAUCAUUUAAUUAAAUUAAGUUUAUAUAAAAAUUUAAUGAUUUGAUUAUUAUGUUGGGGAGACAGAAUUAUAAUUAAUAAUAACUGAAGUUUAAAUAUUACAAAUAUAUGUGAUUUAAAGUGAUAAAAGAUCCUAUAUAAAGAUUAAAAGUUUAAGUUACUUUAGGGAUAACAGCGUUAUUUUCUUUGAGAGUUCAUAUCGAAAAGAAAGAUUGCGACCUCGAUGUUGAAUUAAAAUUUCUAGGUAGUUGCAGAAGUUACUUUAGAGGGUCUGUUCGACCCUUAAAUUUUUACAUGAUUUGAGUUCAGACCGGCGUGAGCCAGGUUGGUUUCUAUCUUUUAAGAAGAAGUGAAUUACUUUAGUACGAAAGGAUUGGGUAAUUAAAUUUUAUUUAAGUGUGGUUAUUUUGGCAGAAAUUAUGUGUAAGA
rnacentral:rRNA from 1 species